rnacentral:tRNA from 6 species
GGGGAGAUAGCGAAGUGGCUAAACGCGGGUGACUGUAAAUCAUCUCCUUAGGGUUCGGCGGUUCGAAUCCGCCUCUCCCCACCA